UACGGAGGGAGCUAGCGUUGUUCGGAUAUACUGGGCGUAAAGCGCACGUAGGCGGCGCCGUAAGUCAGGGGUGAAAUCCCGGAGCUCAACUCCGGAACUGCCCUUGAAACUGCAGUGCUAGAAUUCUGGAGAGGCGAGUGGAAUUCCGAGUGUAGAGGUGAAAUUCGUAGAUAUUGGGAAGAACACCGGUGGCGAAGGCGGCUCACUGGCUCAUAUCUGACGCUCAGGCGCGACAGCGUGGGGAUCAAACAGG
rnacentral:rRNA from 1 species